rnacentral:rRNA from 1 species
UUAAGCGACUAAGCGUACACGGUGGAUGCCCUGGCAGUCAGAGGCGAUGAAGGACGUGCUAAUCUGCGAUAAGCGUCGGUAAGGUGAUAUGAACCGUUAUAACCGGCGAUUUCCGAAUGGGGAAACCCAGUGUGAUUCGUCACACUAUCAUUAACUGAAUCCAUAGGUUAAUGAGGCGAACCGGGGGAACUGAAACAUCUAAGUACCCCGAGGAAAAGAAAUCAACCGAGAUUCCCCCAGUAGCGGCGAGCGAACGGGGAGCAGCCCAGAGCCUGAAUCAGUGUGUGUGUUAGUGGAAGCGUCUGGAAAGGCGCGCGAUACAGGGUGACAGCCCCGUACACAAAAAUGCACAUGCUGUGAGCUCGAUGAGUAGGGCGGGACACGUGGUAUCCUGUCUGAAUAUGGGGGGACCAUCCUCCAAGGCUAAAUACUCCUGACUGACCGAUAGUGAACCAGUACCGUGAGGGAAAGGCGAAAAGAACCCCGGCGAGGGGAGUGAAAAAGAACCUGAAACCGUGUACGUACAAGCAGUGGGAGCACGCUUCGGCGUGUGACUGCGUACCUUUUGUAUAAUGGGUCAGCGACUUAUAUUCUGUAGCAAGGUUAACCGAAUAGGGGAGCCGAAGGGAAACCGAGUCUUAACUGGGCGUUAAGUUGCAGGGUAUAGACCCGAAACCCGGUGAUCUAGCCAUGGGCAGGUUGAAGGUUGGGUAACACUAACUGGAGGACCGAACCGACUAAUGUUGAAAAAUUAGCGGAUGACUUGUGGCUGGGGGUGAAAGGCCAAUCAAACCGGGAGAUAGCUGGUUCUCCCCGAAAGCUAUUUAGGUAGCGCCUCGUGAAUUCAUCUCCGGGGGUAGAGCACUGUUUCGGCAAGGGGGUCAUCCCGACUUACCAACCCGAUGCAAACUGCGAAUACCGGAGAAUGUUAUCACGGGAGACACACGGCGGGUGCUAACGUCCGUCGUGAAGAGGGAAACAACCCAGACCGCCAGCUAAGGUCCCAAAGUCAUGGUUAAGUGGGAAACGAUGUGGGAAGGCCCAGACAGCCAGGAUGUUGGCUUAGAAGCAGCCAUCAUUUAAAGAAAGCGUAAUAGCUCACUGGUCGAGUCGGCCUGCGCGGAAGAUGUAACGGGGCUAAACCAUGCACCGAAGCUGCGGCAGCGACACUAUGUGUUGUUGGGUAGGGGAGCGUUCUGUAAGCCUGUGAAGGUGGCCUGUGAGGGUUGCUGGAGGUAUCAGAAGUGCGAAUGCUGACAUAAGUAACGAUAAAGCGGGUGAAAAGCCCGCUCGCCGGAAGACCAAGGGUUCCUGUCCAACGUUAAUCGGGGCAGGGUGAGUCGACCCCUAAGGCGAGGCCGAAAGGCGUAGUCGAUGGGAAACAGGUUAAUAUUCCUGUACUUGGUGUUACUGCGAAGGGGGGACGGAGAAGGCUAUGUUGGCCGGGCGACGGUUGUCCCGGUUUAAGCGUGUAGGCUGGUUUUCCAGGCAAAUCCGGAAAAUCAAGGCUGAGGCGUGAUGACGAGGCACUACGGUGCUGAAGCAACAAAUGCCCUGCUUCCAGGAAAAGCCUCUAAGCAUCAGGUAACAUCAAAUCGUACCCCAAACCGACACAGGUGGUCAGGUAGAGAAUACCAAGGCGCUUGAGAGAACUCGGGUGAAGGAACUAGGCAAAAUGGUGCCGUAACUUCGGGAGAAGGCACGCUGAUACGUAGGUGAAGCGACUUGCUCGUGGAGCUGAAAUCAGUCGAAGAUACCAGCUGGCUGCAACUGUUUAUUAAAAACACAGCACUGUGCAAACACGAAAGUGGACGUAUACGGUGUGACGCCUGCCCGGUGCCGGAAGGUUAAUUGAUGGGGUUAGCGGUAACGCGAAGCUCUUGAUCGAAGCCCCGGUAAACGGCGGCCGUAACUAUAACGGUCCUAAGGUAGCGAAAUUCCUUGUCGGGUAAGUUCCGACCUGCACGAAUGGCGUAAUGAUGGCCAGGCUGUCUCCACCCGAGACUCAGUGAAAUUGAACUCGCUGUGAAGAUGCAGUGUACCCGCGGCAAGACGGAAAGACCCCGUGAACCUUUACUAUAGCUUGACACUGAACAUUGAGCCUUGAUGUGUAGGAUAGGUGGGAGGCUUUGAAGUGUGGACGCCAGUCUGCAUGGAGCCGACCUUGAAAUACCACCCUUUAAUGUUUGAUGUUCUAACGUUGGCCCCUGAUCGGGGUUGCGGACAGUGUCUGGUGGGUAGUUUGACUGGGGCGGUCUCCUCCUAAAGAGUAACGGAGGAGCACGAAGGUUGGCUAAUCCUGGUCGGACAUCAGGAGGUUAGUGCAAUGGCAUAAGCCAGCUUGACUGCGAGCGUGACGGCGCGAGCAGGUGCGAAAGCAGGUCAUAGUGAUCCGGUGGUUCUGAAUGGAAGGGCCAUCGCUCAACGGAUAAAAGGUACUCCGGGGAUAACAGGCUGAUACCGCCCAAGAGUUCAUAUCGACGGCGGUGUUUGGCACCUCGAUGUCGGCUCAUCACAUCCUGGGGCUGAAGUAGGUCCCAAGGGUAUGGCUGUUCGCCAUUUAAAGUGGUACGCGAGCUGGGUUUAGAACGUCGUGAGACAGUUCGGUCCCUAUCUGCCGUGGGCGCUGGAGAACUGAGGGGGGCUGCUCCUAGUACGAGAGGACCGGAGUGGACGCAUCACUGGUGUUCGGGUUGUCAUGCCAAUGGCACUGCCCGGUAGCUAAAUGCGGAAGAGAUAAGUGCUGAAAGCAUCUAAGCACGAAACUUGCCCCGAGAUGAGUUCUCCCUGACUCCUUGAGAGUCCUGAAGGAACGUUGAAGACGACGACGUUGAUAGGCCGGGUGUGUAAGCGCAGCGAUGCGUUGAGCUAACCGGUACUAAUGAACCGUGAGGCUUAACCUU